rnacentral:rRNA from 1 species
AACGAACGCUGGCGGCAUGCCUAACACAUGCAAGUCGAACGAGACCUUCGGGUCUAGUGGCGCACGGGUGCGUAACGCGUGGGAACCUGCCCUUAGGUUCGGAAUAACUCCCCGAAAGGGGUGCUAAUACCGGAUAAUGUCUUCGGACCAAAGAUUUAUCGCCUUUGGAUGGGCCCGGGUUGGAUUAGCUAGUUGGUAGGGUAAAAGCCUACCAAGGCGACGAUCCAUAGCUGGUCUGAGAGGAUGAUCAGCCACACUGGGACUGAGACACGGCCCAGACUCGUACGGGAGGCAGCAGUGGGGAAUAUUGGACAAUGGGCGAAAGCCUGAUCCAGCAAUGCCGCGUGAGUGAUGAAGGCCUUAGGGUUGUAAAGCUCUUUUACCCGGGAUGAUAAUGACAGUACCGGGAGAAUAAGCUCCGGCUAACUCCGUG